UGGGGAAUAUUGCACAAUGGGCGCAAGCCUGAUGCAGCCAUGCCGCGUGUAUGAAGAAGGCCUUCGGGUUGUAAAGUACUUUCAGCGGGGAGGAAGGCGAUAAGGUUAAUAACCUUGUCGAUUGACGUUACCCGCAGAAGAAGCACCGGCUAACUCCGUGCCAGCAGCCGCGGUAAUACGGAGGGUGCAAGCGUUAAUCGGAAUUACUGGGCGUAAAGCGCACGCAGGCGGUCUGUCAAGUCGGAUGUGAAAUCCCCGGGCUCAACCUGGGAACUGCAUUCGAAACUGGCAGGCUAGAGUCUUGUAGAGGGGGGUAGAAUUCCAGGUGUAGCGGUGAAAUGCGUAGAGAUCUGGAGGAAUACCGGUGGCGAAGGCGGCCCCCUGGACAAAGACUGACGCUCAGGUGCGAAAGCGUGGGGAGCAAACAGG
rnacentral:rRNA from 5 species